rnacentral:tRNA from 4 species
GCCCGGGUGGCGGAAUAGGUAGACGCGCUAGCUUGAGGUGCUAGUCCACAAAUUAUCGUGGGUAGGGGUUCAAGUCCCCUCUCGGGCA